rnacentral:ncRNA from 1 species
CCAAACGCAGCGACGGAGAGAGUAGGCGCUGUCUGCACGGCAAAGAGAGAAGCUUCACCGGCUGAAAAGGCUUCCAUGUGCGGCAGAGGCUGAAGUUCGCUCCCGAGCGGUCUGCGCGAACGAUGCGGGUGCAUCUAUUAGCACAGAACGGUUGCGCCCCGUUACGGCGUUUGAGCGCCGUCUGCCUUUGUGCAGACGGAAACCGGGUGGUACCGCGGAGCAGAAAUGGUUAUAGCUUCGUCCCUUUU